rnacentral:rRNA from 1 species
GUGGGGAAUAUUGGACAAUGGGCGCAAGCCUGAUCCAGCCAUGCCGCGUGAGUGAUGAAGGCCCUAGGGUUGUAAAGCUCUUUCACCGGUGAAGAUAAUGACGGUAACCGGAGAAGAAGCCCCGGCUAACUUCGUGCCAGCAGCCGCGGUAAUACGAAGGGGGCUAGCGUUGUUCGGAAUUACUGGGCGUAAAGCGCACGUAGGCAGACAUUUAAGUCAGGGGUGAAAUCCCGGGGCUCAACCCCGGAACUGCCUUUGAUACUGGGUGUCUGGAGUAUGGAAGAGGUAAGUGGAAUUCCGAGUGUAGAGGUGAAAUUCGUAGAUAUUCGGAAGAACACCAGUGGCGAAGGCGACUCACUGGCCCGUUACUGACGCUGAGGCGCGAAAGCGUGGGGAGCAAACAGGAUUAGAAACCCGUGUAGUCC